CUGUUUGCCUGCCACUAUAAACAAAGAGUGCCUGCUCCAGGCGGCCAUUAGCUCCCGACAAGCUGUGGUUCCGCGUGGUCCCCACUUUCAAACAUAAUCUUGGUCUCCUAGUCUUUUCUUCAUCUCCCACUGCUCUCUCCGGCCUCGGACCCUAUGCUGUGUGGGUUGCAGAACCCUGGAACGAUUUUGGCUCAUAAAGAAACGCUCCAAUAUAGGAUGUGCCACAAAAUUCAGCUGCCAGACAGACUGUCAAAGAAGUCUGCGUCAGGAAGUUAAGGAAUCUGAAAUGGAAGACCAGAGAAUCUGUGCUGGAAAGCCAGAGUUGGGAGCUGAGGUAUCUCUGUCCCAAGGCAGAAAACGAUGUUCAAGGCCAGGCGAUCACAAGCUCCUCUGAAGAGAACAACAGCCAUCCUUCGCGAUGAUGAGGAC
rnacentral:lncRNA from 1 species